GGUUUUGUAUACCUGUAUUUGUAUUUAUUGUGCGUUUGUUUAAUUUGUAGGAUUCACAAAAGUAGAGCCCGUUAAUUGUCAGCACCAAGCAAAACUGUGCAUGACGUGUGUUAAAUCUGGCCUAGGUUUUGUGUAGGAUCAUUGAUUGUGUAGGUAAUGAGCUUUGCAAUCCAUUAUUACAGUGCCCCCUUCUUAAGGAGAGGCGAGACAUUGAGUGGGCAAACUUGGUCCAGUCACCACUGCCUAAUCAAAUCCCCCUGUGACUAUUUCACAGCU